CACGUAGGGGGCGAGCGUUGUCCGGAUUUAUUGGGCGUAAAGAGCUCGUAGGCGGUUCGCUAAGUCGGGUGUGAAACCUCCAGGCUCAACCUGGAGACGCCACCUGAUACUGGCGUGACUAGAGUCCGGUAGGGGAGUGUGGAACUCCUGGUGUAGCGGUGAAAUGCGUAGAUAUCAGGAGGAACACCUGUGGCGAAAGCGGCUCACUGGACCAUAACUGACGCUGAUGCACGAAAGCUAGGGGAGCAAACAGG
rnacentral:rRNA from 1 species